rnacentral:rRNA from 1 species
AUUGAACGCUGGCGGCAUGCCUUACACAUGCAAGUCGAACGGUAACAGGUCUUCGGAUGCUGACGAGUGGCAAACGGGUGAGUAAUACAUCGGAACGUGCCCGAUCGUGGGGGAUAACGGAGCGAAAGCUUUGCUAAUACCGCAUACGAUCUACGGAUGAAAGCGGGGGAUCGCAAGACCUCGCGCGUUUGGAGCGGCCGAUGGCAGAUUAGGUAGUUGGUGGGGUAAAGGCUUACCAAGCCUGCGAUCUGUAGCUGGUCUGAGAGGACGACCAGCCACACUGGGACUGAGACACGGCCCAGACUCCUACGGGAGGCAGCAGUGGGGAAUUUUGGACAAUGGGCGAAAGCCUGAUCCAGCCAUUCCGCGUGCAGGAUGAAGGCCCUCGGGUUGUAAACUGCUUUUGUACGGAACGAAAAGCUCCUGGCUAAUAUCCGGGAGCCAUGACGGUACCGUAAGAAUAAGCACCGGCUAACUACGUGCCAGCAGCCGCGGU